rfam:Gordonia effusa NBRC 100432 DNA, contig: GOEFS081.
CCCGGCGGGUGAGCUGAGGCCCCGGCCCGAACCGACCCUGACGUACUUCCCCAACGCCAGGUGCGGAUCGGGCCGGGACCUGAGUCCCACCCGACAUCCGG